GUAAGUAUAAUUUAACUAAAAUGUUAGAUUGUGAUUCUAAAAACAGGGGUUAAAGUCCCCUUACUCACC
rnacentral:tRNA from 1 species